rnacentral:rRNA from 1 species
UACAGAGGGUGCGAGCGUUAAUCGGAAUGACUGGGCGUAAAGGGCGUGUAGGUGGUUAACAAGGUUCGAUGUGAAAGCCCCGGGCUUAACCUGGGAAAGGCAUAGAAGACGUGUUGACUGGAGUGAGAGAGAGGGUUGUGGAAUUUCCGGUGUAGCGGUGAAAUGCGUAGAUAUCGGAAAGAACAUCAGUGGCGAAGGCGACAACCUGGCUCUUAACUGACACUGAGGCGCGAAGGCGUGGGGAGCAAACAGG